rnacentral:rRNA from 1 species
UAAUUUAAGGGUUGUUAAAAUUUUAGUGUAAGUAUAAAUUUUAUGUAAUAAUAUUAAAGAAUAUAAGAGGCAGAAAUUAAAAUUAUUUAUAUAAUAAUAUGAAAUAGUUUUACUUACGGCGAGUUGGCGAACUUGUGCCAC